UUCCUACGGGGGCAGCAGUAGGGAAUCUUCCGCAAUGGACGAAAGUCUGACGGAGCAACGCCGCGUGAGUGAUGAAGGUUUUCGGAUCGUAAAGCUCUGUUGUUAGGGAAGAACAAGUGCCGUUCAAAUAGGGCGGCACCUUGACGGUACCUAACCAGAAAGCCACGGCUAACUACGUGCCAGCAGCCGCGGUAAUACGUAGGUGGCAAGCGUUGUCCGGAAUUAUUGGGCGUAAAGGGCUCGCAGGCGGUUUCUUAAGUCUGAUGUGAAAGCCCCCGGCUCAACCGGGGAGGGUCAUUGGAAACUGGGGAACUUGAGUGCAGAAGAGGAGAGUGGAAUUCCACGUGUAGCGGUGAAAUGCGUAGAGAUGUGGAGGAACACCAGUGGCGAAGGCGACUCUCUGGUCUGUAACUGACGCUGAGGAGCGAAAGCGUGGGGAGCGAACAGGAUUAGAUACCUGGGGUAGUCCA
rnacentral:rRNA from 1 species